rnacentral:rRNA from 1 species
UACGUAGGUGGCAAGCGUUGUUCGGAUUCACUGGGCGUAAAGGGUGCGUAGGUGGCGGAGUAAGUCGGAUGUGAAAUCUCCGAGCUCAACUCGGAAAUGGCAUUGGAAACUGCUCUGCUCGAGGGUUGGAGGGGGGACUGGAAUACUUGGUGUAGCAGUGAAAUGCGUAGAUAUCAAGUGGAACACCAGUGGCGAAGGCGAGUCCCUGGACAACUCCUGACACUGAGGCACGAAAGCUAGGGGAGCAAAC